rnacentral:rRNA from 1 species
ACGGAAUAGAUACCCGGGUAGUCCCAGCCGUAAACGAUGCUCGCUAGGUGUCAGGCAUGGCGCGACCGUGUCUGGUGCCGCAGGGAAGCCGUGAAGCGAGCCACCUGGGAAGUACGGCCGCAAGGCUGAAACUUAAAGGAAUUGGCGGGGAGCACAACAACGGGUGGAGCCUGCGGUUUAAUUGGACUCAACGCCGGACAACUCACCGGGGGCGGACAGCAAUAUGUAGGCCAACGCUGAAGACUUUGUCCUGAAUCGCUGAGAGGAGGUGCAUGGCCGUCGCCAGUUCGUACUGUGAAGCAUCCUGUUAAGUCAGGCAACGAGCGAGACCCGUGCCCACUGUUACCAGCAUGUCCUCCGGGACGAUGGGUACUCUGUGGGGACCGCCUAUGUUAAACUAGGAGGAAGGUGCGGGCCGACGGUAGGUCAGUAUGCCCC